GGUUAAGUGACUAAGCGUACACGGUGGAUGCCUUGGCAGUCAGAGGCGAUGAAGGACGUAUUAACUUGCGAUAAGCCCAGAUUAGACAGUAAAAGUCAUUUGAGUCUGGGAUUUCCGAAUGGGGAAACCCACUUACAUAAGUAAGUAUCUUGUUGUGAAUACAUAGCAGCAAGAGGCAAACCGGGGGAACUGAAACAUCUAAGUACCCCGAGGAAGAGAAAUCAACCGAGAUUCCGAAAGUAGCGGCGAGCGAAAUUGGAUUAGCCCUUAAGCUUUUAAUGAGACAGACGAAGGCUCUGGAAAGUGCCGCAAUAAAGGGUGAUAGCCCCGUAGUCGACAUCUCAUCAUCAGUGAAAACGAGUAGGGCGGGACACGUGAUAUCCUGUCUGAAUAUGGGGGGACCAUCCUCCAAGGCUAAAUACUACUGACUGACCGAUAGUGAACCAGUACCGUGAGGGAAAGGCGAAAAGAACCCCUGUGAGGGGAGUGAAAUAGAACCUGAAACCGUGUACGUACAAGCAGUAGGAGCACCUUCGUGGUGUGACUGCGUACCUUUUGUAUAAUGGGUCAGCGACUUAAUUUUAGUAGCAAGGUUAACCGUUUAGGGGAGCCGUAGGGAAACCGAGUCUUAACUGGGCGUACAGUUGCUAGGAUUAGACCCGAAACCAGGUGAUCUAGCCAUGGGCAGGUUGAAGGUUGAGUAACAUCAACUGGAGGACCGAACCGACUAAUGUUGAAAAAUUAGCGGAUGACUUGUGGCUAGGGGUGAAAGGCCAAUCAAACCUGGAGAUAGCUGGUUCUCCCCGAAAGCUAUUUAGGUAGCGCCUCGGACGAAUACUACUGGGGGUAGAGCACUGUUAAGGCUAGGGGGUCAUCCCGACUUACCAACCCUUUGCAAACUCCGAAUACCAGUAAGUACUAUCCGGGAGACACACGGCGGGUGCUAACGUCCGUCGUGGAGAGGGAAACAACCCAGACCGCCAGCUAAGGUCCCAAAGUAUAGCUAAGUGGGAAACGAUGUGGGAAGGCUCAGACAGCCAGGAUGUUGGCUUAGAAGCAGCCAUCAUUUAAAGAAAGCGUAAUAGCUCACUGGUCGAGUCGGCCUGCGCGGAAGAUGUAACGGGGCUAAGCUAUACACCGAAGCUGCGGCUACGCACUUAUGUGCGUGGGGUAGGGGAGCGUUCUGUAAGCCGUUGAAGGUGGUCUGUAAGGGCUGCUGGAGGUAUCAGAAGUGCGAAUGCUGACAUGAGUAACGAUAAAGGGAGUGAAAAACUCCCUCGCCGGAAGACCAAGGGUUCCUGUCCAACGUUAAUCGGGGCAGGGUAAGUCGACCCCUAAGGCGAGGCCGAAAGGCGUAGUCGAUGGGAAACGGGUUAAUAUUCCCGUACUUCUUACAAUUGCGAUGGGGGGACGGAGAAGGCUAGGUGGGCCUGGCGACGGUUGUCCAGGUUCAAGUACGUAGGCGGAAGAGUUAGGUAAAUCCGGUUCUUCAUAACGCUGAGAUACGAUGUCGAGCUACUACGGUAGUGAAGUCAUUGAUGCCAUGCUUCCAGGAAAAGCCUCUAAGCUUCAGAUUGUAAGGAAUCGUACCCCAAACCGACACAGGUGGUCGGGUAGAGAAUACCAAGGCGCUUGAGAGAACUCGGGUGAAGGAACUAGGCAAAAUGGUACCGUAACUUCGGGAGAAGGUACGCUCUUAUCAGUGAAGUCCCUUGCGGAUGGAGCAGACGAGAGUCGCAGAUACCAGGUGGCUGCAACUGUUUAUUAAAAACACAGCACUGUGCAAAAUCGUAAGAUGACGUAUACGGUGUGACGCCUGCCCGGUGCCGGAAGGUUAAUUGAUGGGGUUAGACUUCGGUCGAAGCUCUUGAUCGAAGCCCCGGUAAACGGCGGCCGUAACUAUAACGGUCCUAAGGUAGCGAAAUUCCUUGUCGGGUAAGUUCCGACCUGCACGAAUGGCGUAAUGAUGGCCACGCUGUCUCCACCCGAGACUCAGUGAAAUUGAAAUCGCUGUGAAGAUGCAGUGUACCCGCGGCUAGACGGAAAGACCCCGUGAACCUUUACUACAGCUUGGCACUGAACAUUGA
rnacentral:rRNA from 1 species